UAAAAAGCUUCAAACUGGGAUUAGAUACCCCACUAUGCUCAGCCGUAAACUUAGACAUCCAACUACAAUUAGAUGUCCGCCAGGGUACUACGAGCAUUAGCUUGAAACCCAAAGGACUUGACGGUGUCUCAGAUCCCCCUAGAGGAGCCUGUUCUAGAACCGAUAACCCCCGUUUAACCUCACCACUCCUAGCCACCCCAGCCUAUAUACCACCGUCGUCAGCUUACCCUGUGAAGGACACAAAAGUAAGCAAAAUGGGCACAACCCAGAACGUCAGGUCGAGGUGUAGCGCAUGAAGUGGGAAGAAAUGGGCUACAUUUUCUAACACAGAACAUUACGAACAUGUACCAUGAAAUAGUACUUGAAGGAGGAUUUAGUAGUAAAGGGGAAAUAGAGCGUCCCCUUGAACCCGGCUCUGAGACGCGUACACACCGCCCGUCACCCUCUGCAGUCAA
rnacentral:rRNA from 1 species